UACAGAGGGGGCAAGCGUUAUUCGGAAUUACUGGGCGUAAAGCGCGUGUAGGCGGCCCUGCAAGUCGGAUGUGAAAUCCCACGGCUCAACCGUGGAAGUGCAUUCGAAACUGCAGGGCUAGAGUCCUGGAGAGGAAGGUGGAAUGCUUGGUGUAGAGGUGAAAUUCGUAGAUAUCAAGCGGAACACCGGUGGCGAAGGCGGCCUUCCGGACAGUGACUGACGCUGAGACGCGAAAGCGUGGGGAGCAAACAGG
rnacentral:rRNA from 1 species